rnacentral:lncRNA from 1 species
UUAAGUUGUGAUUGCUUGCAUGUCAUUGUUUCCUAUUUGUUGCUCGCAUGGUUGAUUUGAUUGUGUGGUUUUGGUAAUCGUGCAUGUAGACCUUUGAUUGCUAAGCAAGACAAAAAAAAAAUCAAUCAUUGAAAAAAAAAGAACAAAAAAUAAACACUAGAUCCAACGACGAACAUUUUUCUCAAGUCAAACCACUUCAAUCCAUUUCCACUAUCCUCAGUUUCUCAAAAUUUGCAACCAUAAAUCAUGUCAAACCCUUCACAUUCAAAUCAUUUU